rnacentral:rRNA from 1 species
UACGUAGGGCGCGAGCGUUGUCCGGAAUUAUUGGGCGUAAAGAGCUCGUAGGCGGCCUGUUGCGUCCGCUGUGAAAUCCCAGGGCUUAACCCUGAGCCUGCUUCCGAUACGGGCAGACUAGAGGUAUGCAGGGGAGAACGGAAUUCCUGGUGUAGCGGUGAAAUGCGCAGAUAUCAGGAGGAACACCGGUGGCGAAGGCGGUUCUCUGGGCAUUACCUGACGCUGAGGAGCGAAAGUGUGGGGAGCGAACAGG